rnacentral:rRNA from 1 species
AUUGAACGCUGGCGGCAGGCCUAACACAUGCCAGUCGAGCGGAUGAAGGGAGCUUGCUCCUGGAUUCAGCGGCGGACGGGUGAGUAAUGCCUAGGAAUCUGCCUGGUAGUGGGGGAUAACGUCCGGAAACGGGCGCUAAUACCGCAUACGUCCUGAGGGAGAAAGUGGGGGAUCUUCGGACCUCACGCUAUCAGAUGAGCCUAGGUCGGAUUAGCUAGUUGGUGGGGUAAAGGCCUACCAAGGCGACGAUCCGUAGCUGGUCUGAGAGGAUGAUCAGUCACACUGGAACUGAGACACGGUCCAGACUCCUACGGGAGGCAGCAGUGGGGAAUAUUGGACAAUGGGCGAAAGCCUGAUCCAGCCAUGCCGCGUGUGUGAAGAAGGUCUUCGGAUUGUAAGGCACUUUAAGUUGGGAGGAAGGGCAGUAAGUUAAUACCUUGCUGUUUUGACGUUACCAACAGAAUAAGCACCGGCUAACUUCGUG